GCUAGCUCUAAAGAGCUCGGGAAAGAGAUCAUGGCCCGGGACUGUGUGGAGAUGGGUUUCUGUCCUCUGAGGUGCAGGCUCCUCGGUGCUGUUCUCAGCUGUAGGAGCAGCUGUGCUGGAUCAGCCCAGCCCAGGCUGUUCCUGGCCAGUAACGAUAUUAAAAGAGGGGCAAGGCCAGGGCAGCCCUUUCCCCGGUGAGCCCUUGUAGCCUCCUGCUGAUGGCCAGCCAGAGACUUCCCGAGCUACAUCAUUAACAAGCUCAUCAUGACACGGUGCUGCUUCAGCCUGAUCUAGGAUUUGAUCUGGUAUUGUCUGCACUUCUGCUGCCUGGUGCAUCCCUGUGGCCAAAGCAGAACUGAGUCCUGCCUUUUCUGCAGAGAAAGUGUCUCUGAAUAUAUUUGGGCUUAAUAAUAUAUUCAGCAUCACGUUUAAACGACAACGUUUGGAAGACAAAUGCUGCCUUUGUCCAUGCUGCACAUUGGAAUCAUUCUGUGUGCCUGAAACAAGUUUUGGGCCUAACAGCAACUGGAUCUGGGACAGAUUAGGUCCACAGGCCUGUGGCCAGCAGUCUGCAGUGAUAGGCAAUUUUGGCAGAAGUGAAAAACGUAACGGGAAUUCUUUAGUGCUCUCUGAUUUAUGGUCUGACUAUUACAUGUGAACAGGAAAGCCUCAAGCCUGCUUAAGUUUAAACAUGGGAGGAUUCCUGCUGUCGUAAAUGAGUGCCCAUGGGUACGCUAACCGUGGGCACUGCAGCUGGCAGGCAUCGAAGGCAACUGAAAAUGCCUUCCUGGGCUCGGUUUGGUACGCUUAGAAGGGGAACGUGUCCCCUUAAAAACAUAACCCGUGCAUUGCAUUGCAUUUUAGAUUAAAUGCAAACCAUAUCGAUCAAGUAAUGCUGCAUAUUUAAAUAGGCUGAUUUAUGACAGAAACCCUAGCUGUUGCGAACUUUUGAUUUAAAUGCUUCAUUUUUAGAUCUGGCCAUUUCAUAAUUAUUCUCAGUCCUCUGUUGUAAAUAUACAUUAAGUUUCCAAUUAUAUAUUUAUUUUCUAAUUUAGAAGUGAGUAUGCUUUUAUCUCCUGUCUUUUACUUUAUGCUGGGCAUAACUUAAAGGUUUUGGACAAUAUACGUCAGGAGAUAUAUUAUCCUCCUUUGGUUUCACACAGUUUAAAGGGAAUUGGUGUACCAUAUUAUGUUAAACUUUAGAAAGGAUUCAACAUUUAGUAAUAACAUUUUGGAUGUAUUCUCAGCAAAAUGGUUUCAAAAGAAAGCUUGGAAAACUUUGAUUCAUUAAAGCUCAAAUAUGAAAGAAACAGGAGAUGUGGGAAAUGAUUGAUCUUAACAAAAGCAUUGCCAAGAACUGAGUGUUGCAAAACCUAAUUAGUGACCUGGAAAAUAGGUGGUAAUUAAGAAAGGCCAGGAGUGUCAGAGCUCCUCAAGCAGAGGCAUGAAAUUUCGUAUUACAGCAAUUGAGUCAAACUGGAUAGAAAAGGGGCGAUGGUGACUGCUCCUUUUCCCAAUUAAUGCCUGGAGGGACCAGAUGAGGCAGCGGGACCUCAAGUUUCACUUGCAGCUCUAGGUGGAAUGGGUGCUGCAUCUCAAGGCAAGUCAGCAAGUGUUCGAAUUAAGAACAAGUCAGCAAAUAUACCCUGAGAUCAGAGCUGCUUUAUCCUGAAAGAUAAUUUUAGGAGGAGGACCUAAAUACAUCUUUCUUUUUUCACAUAGAUGUUAUAGUUAUAAGAUAAAGAAACACUUAAUGCCCUAAAAGGUGGUAAAAUCUCCUCACAGAAUCUUUUAUCUUUUCCAGUAUAGACUUUGCUUGUAGUUGUGUUUUAUUUAAAUAUACCCAGGAAUUGUCAUUUUGCAUGUUUUUAUUAACACUUAAUUUAAUCAGACUUGUAUUUGAGUAGUCCAAAUAACUAAUUUUCAUGUAAGGAAGAUAACAACUUAUGUCCCAAUACAUUUCUCAGACCUGCCAACCAUGCAAAGAAGUGUCUCAAAAAUUUAAUGGUGCAAAAGUAAUACGCAGUUGCCAGCUGGGAGCGAAGUGCGGGGGAAACAAUGCGUACUGCUGCAGUGUUUUAGCAGAUAUAAAUCAAAUUCUCUUUAUUGCUAGCUUGCCAGUUAGCAUUUGUAUAGCAUUACCAAAGGGAGAGUUGAUUUGUGUAUUGGCACCUAGGGUAAGGUCUUUGGCCAGACGUUACAGCUGAGGAGCUGGUCUGGUCUCUGGCACUAAAAACGGAGAUGUUACAGGUUUUCACGGAUAAGAGCCAUCUGCAACCAUGUAAUGGAAUCCGAAAUAUGUUUAAUUUUUACCUUUUUGAUCACUGCAGCAA